AACUUAGCUAAAUUCUAUUAGAUUUAAGGCUUUGUAAUUAUUUGAGCCCUUUGUAAUGAUGGUUUAGAUACUUUGCCUUUCAACAUUUUAUCAGCUAAUUGAAAGAUAUAUGCUAGUUAAAAUUUUAAAGCUAACAAGUCAAUACAAAAAAUAUAGAUGUAGAAUAAGUAGUUAUUUUCAGAAUGUAGAUACCUAGUGUAAAGUGUAAACAUGGAUAGAUAAUUGCUGAAAAGAUGGUUCAGCAGGUAGAAUGGAUGAAUAAUCAAGAAAAGUAGUUAUCAUCUGUAGUAUAGGAGUUGGUAUCUUGGGGUAGUAUAAGGAAGAUGGGAGAGGGGAAGAAAAUGCCAAAUUAUGAAAGUCGUAAGCCGAGGGCCAAACUAUGAGAGUUGUGAGUUGAGGACUAGACUGUGAGAGUUGUGAGUUGAGGACCAGACUGUGAGAGUUGUAAGCCGAGGACUAGAUUGCAAUAGUACUGAGCUGGAGAUAAGCUUGGUGCUAU
rnacentral:lncRNA from 1 species